UGGGGAAUAUUGCACAAUGGGGGAAACCCUGAUGCAGCGACGCCGCGUGAGCGAUGAAGUAUUUCGGUAUGUAAAGCUCUAUCAGCAGGGAAGAAAAUGACGGUACCUGACUAAGAAGCCCCGGCUAACUACGUGCCAGCAGCCGCGGUAAUACGUAGGGGGCAAGCGUUAUCCGGAUUUACUGGGUGUAAAGGGAGCGUAGACGGAGAGGCAAGUCUGGAGUGAAAACCCGGGGCUCAACCCCGGGACUGCUUUGGAAACUGUUUUUCUAGAGUGUCGGAGAGGUAAGUGGAAUUCCUAGUGUAGCGGUGAAAUGCGUAGAUAUAUGGAGGAACACCAGUGGCGAAGGCGGUCGCCUGGUCUGUAACUGACACUGAUGCACGAAAGCGUGGGGAGCAAAUAGGAUUAGAUACCC
rnacentral:rRNA from 1 species